GAUGAACGCUAGCGGCAGGCCUAACACAUGCAAGUCGAGGGGCAUCACGGAUUGCUUGCAUCUGGUGGCGACCGGCGCACGGGUGCGUAACGCGUAUACAACCUACCUUUUUGGAGGGGAAUAGCCCAGAGAAAUUUGGAUUAAUACCCCAUAGUAUAUUAGGAAUCUCCUGAUUUUUAUAUUUAAACAUUUAUGGCCAUUAGAUGGGUAUGCGUCCUAUUAGCUAGUUGGCGUGGUAACGGCACACCAAGGCUACGAUAGGUAGGGGUCCUGAGAGGGAGAUCCCCACACUGGUACUGAGACACGGACCAGACUCCUACGGGAGGCAGCAGUGAGGAAUAUUGGACAAUGGGCGGGAGCCUGAUCCAGCCAUGCCGCGUGCAGGAAGACUGCCCUAUGGGUUGUAAACUGCUUUUUACAGAGGAAGAACCACCCCCACGUGUGGGGGUUUGACGGUACUCUGCGAAUAGGGAUCGGCUAACUCCGUG
rnacentral:rRNA from 1 species